ACUCUUUUCAUUACCCGAUAAAACACCUAUAUCACCCCUGCCGGUGCUUGCAUCGGCUAUGGCAAUAAACUGUCGGUGAAAUAAACCUAUUGGACCCGGGGGCGGUACCCGGCGCCUCCACC
rnacentral:tmRNA from 1 species